GGCGACGGGAUGAACCCGGCGGGCAGGUGGAGGCCGUGACCCGACUCCGGGAAGGGGGCGGGGCCUGGUCCCGGGGCGAACUCCGGCCCGUUCUCACGAGGCCAGGCCAGGCCGCGACUCUCGGCCGGCGCAUUCCGUUCAAGAUGGCGCUGGCGGCUGCUCUGCGAGUCCCGGCGCGCAUGUUGCUCCGCGCGGGGGCCCGGCUCCCGGGCGCGGCCCUCGGGCUGACGGAGCGGGGGGACGGCGCGCGGCGCUUCGGGAGCCAGCGGGUGCUGGUGGAGCCGGACGCAGGCGCAGGGGUCGCUGUGAUGAGACUGAACAACCCCCCAGUGAACACCCUCAGCCUGGAGUUUCUGACGGAGCUGGUCAUCAGCCUGGAGAAGCUGGAGAAUGACAAGAGCUUCCGCGGUGUCAUCCUGACCUCGGACCGCCCCGGCGUGUUCUCGGCUGGCCUGGACCUGACGGAGAUGUGCGGGAGGAGCCCCGCCCACUACGCCGAGUACUGGAAGGCCGUGCAGGAGCUGUGGCUGCGGCUCUACCAGUCCAGCCUGGUGGUAGUCGCUGCCAUCAACGGAGCCUGCCCCGCCGGAGGCUGCCUGAUAGCCCUGACCUCUGACCACCGCGUCCUGGCGGACAACCCCAAGUACAGCAUAGGACUCAAUGAGACCCUACUGGGCAUUGUUGCCCCUUUCUGGUUCAAAGACACCCUGAUAAACACGAUCGGGCACCGGGCAGCCGAGCGCGCCCUGCAGCUGGGGCUGCUCUUCCCGCCGGCGCAGGCCCUGCAGGUGGGCAUAGUGGACCAGGUGGUGCCGGAGGAGCAGGUGCAGAGCAUGGCACUGUCGGCGAUAGCCCAGUGGUUGGCCAUUCCAGACCACGCCCGGCAGCUGACCAAGGCCAUGAUGCGGAAGGCCACAGCCAGCCGCCUGAUCACGCAUCGCGACGAGGACGUGCAGAACUUUGUCAGCUUCGUCUCCAGAGACUCCAUCCAGAAGUCCCUGCAGCUGUACUUAGAGAGGCUCAAACAAAAGAAAGGCUAACAGCUGGGCUGCCACAGGCGCUCUGGGUCCCGGUGGGAUCGUAAACAAGGUAUUCUGCAAGUUAAAAGUACCGCCAGCGUUUUGUUUUGCUGAUCUUACAGAGAAGGUCCUGUUCCUCGUCUUCCCCCCAACACACACAUACGGGUGCCUGUGCCCAGCAGGCAAGGGGGGUUGGAGGGCAGCCUUUUGACUUGGCAUUGUGAUUGGCAGGGGGCACCGUUCUGGACCUGGUGAGGUCACCACUGAGUGUCUCCAUUCCCAAGGCGGAAUCGUAAAUCAAGUCCCUGGUCAUCCACCCCAGCCUUUGGACUGCCCGCUCUUAGGUGUAAGCCCAGGUGGUCUUUGCCCCCAUGACCCACACAGGACCCCCCAGAGAAAACCCUUUGGCCGCUGCCCUUAUUCAUCUGGAUGAAGAGUGGACCGCGAAUCGGAGCAACUGGGGGAUCCGUAGUGGGCAGGAGUGGGACUCUGGAGGAAGCUAUGCUGCCAGGGCUCGAGUGUCCCUUAAGGAUUUUGCAUGGCCAGGGCCUGGUGGUGAGUGCCUGUAAUCCCAGCUACUGAAGAGGCUGAGGCAGAGAAUUGCUUGAAUCCAGGAGGCGGAGGUGAGCCGAGAUUGCACCACUGCACUCCAGCCUGGGCACCAGUGAGACAACUCAUCCAAAGCCCUGAAACAAACGUGUUUCCUCCCAUGUGAUUCAGACCAGGUUCCCAAAUGCUGGUCAGAAGUGAUGUUUCAAAAACCAGAAACUGCCGGGCACACUGGCUCACGCCUGUAAUCCCAGCACUUUGGGAGGCUGAGGUGGGUGGAUCACCUGAAGUCAGGAGUUCAAGACCAGCCUGGGCAUCAUGGUGAAACCCCGUCUUUAAAAUAAACAAACAAAUAAAAUCCAGAAACUUCA